GACGCUGCUCUAUGGCAAGGAGACCCUGGAGUAUGAAGAUAUGGUCUCGGUGCUGCGGUCCAAUGAACAAUGGAAAAAGUUAACCAAGGAAGGUGCUCCCCAGGAGGGCUUGGUUGUGGGGGAGAGAUCAGGAAGAGGAAGAAAAAGAGGCAAGUCAAGGGGACAAUCAAAGUCUCGAAAGAGCAGGAGCAAGAAGGAAGCCUGGUGCUACAAGUGCAAUG
rnacentral:lncRNA from 1 species